CCUGAAAAUCUAUUCACAUGUGUCACCGCCGCCAUCUUUAAAGAAGCCGGUGCAGGAAACAAUAAGGAAAGAAGUAAAUUUAAAAUUCUGGCGCAUUUUUAAAUUUAGGCCCACCAUGGCGGACACCAAUGGUGAUUUGGAAGAACAGAACCCAACAGAGGAACCCAUGGAAACCCAAGAACCUGUCGAACAUGGGGAAGGAUACCAGAAACUUGUAGAUUAUGGAAUUGACCAAAAAGUAGCAGAAGAAUUGGACAAAGUCUAUCAAACAGAAACAGUUUGUCAUGACGAUCUUGAUGAGCGAGCUUUAGAUGCUUUAAAGGAAUUCAAUGUUGAGGGUGCUUUGGAGGUUAUCAAGGAGUUCUGCACCAGUAACCUUGAGCAUGUGACCAACAAAAGUGCGUACCUGUGUGGGGUGAUGAAGACGUACAGACAGAGGAUGAAGCAGCCAGGUGGUGCAGCUCAAACUACACACGGUCCUGAUGAGGCCAAAUUAAAGGAAAUCCUUGACAGGACUGGUUACUCAUUGGAUGUAACAACAGGGCAAAGGAAGUAUGGAGGACCACCCCCAGACUGGGAGGGUGCACAGCCAGGGAGUGGCACAGAGGUCUAUGUGGGAAAGAUUCCCAAGGACUCAUUUGAAGAUGAAAUAAUCCCUGUGUUUGAGAAAGCUGGGAAAAUUUGGGAUCUGCGUCUGAUGAUGGAUCCACUCACAGGUCUCAACAGAGGAUAUGCCUUUGUUACAUAUUGUGACAAGGAAGGGGCACAGGAGGCAGCUAAACAGCUGGACAACUAUGAGAUCAAACCAGGCAAGAAGAUAAAGGUGAACAUUUCCGUGCCCAAUGUAAGGUUAUUUAUUGGAAACAUUCCCAAAAACAAAAGCAAAGAGGACAUUAUGGAGGAGUUUGGGAAAAUUGCAGAGGGUCUUGUAGAUUGUAUAGUUUAUGGAAAUCCAGAUGAUCCAAAGAAAAAAAAUAGAGGUUUUGCUUUUCUUGAGUUCGACUCCCACAAAUCUGCAUCCACGGCUAAGAGGCGGCUGAGCUCAGGGAGAGUAAAAGCCUGGAAUGGAGACUUUGCCGUGGACUGGGCUGAUCCUCAGGAGGAACCUGACCAGGAGACCAUGUCCAAGGUAAAAGUGUUGUAUGUCAGGAACCUCACGGCUGAUGUUACAGAAGAAAUGAUCAAGGAAAAGUUUGAGCCAUAUGGCAAGGUGGACCGUGUUAAGAAGAUAAAAGAUUAUGCUUUUGUUCACUUUGAAGAUAGGGAUGCUGCAAUGCAGGCCUUAAAUGAUCUGAAUGAACAGAAACUUGGUGCCAGUGUUAUGGAAAUCUCCCUGGCCAAGCCCCAGUCUGAAAACAAGAAGAAAGAAAUGAGGAAACGAGAACAGGACCGACAAAGGAUGAUGAUGGGAGGAAGGGGAUUUGAUGAUUAUUUUGUUUCACCAAGAGGUGGUUUCCCUCCCCGGGGUGGUCGUGGCAUGGGCAGGCCAAUGGGAAGACCUAUGGACUAUGACUUCUAUGACUAUGGGUAUAAUGAAUACAGAGGUGGCUAUGCUGACCCAUACUAUGAUGAUUGCUAUGCGGGAGGUGGUGGUUAUGAUGACUUUAGCUUUGGUCCCCCUAGAGCUGGACCUCGGGGACGAGGUGGCAUUCCCCCAGGGGGUGGACGAGGAGGGCGAGGCAGCCCCAUGCAGCGUGGUGGCAUGGGAGGUAGAGGUGGAGGAUUUAGAGGUGGGCGUGGCGGUAUUCCUCGAGGUGGACGUGGAGGGCAGCCAAUGAGAGGGGGCAAUGCCAACCGACGUCCAGGGGGCAAGCGCAAGAUGGGAGGCGAUGGAAACCAAGUAGGCUAUGCAAGUGACUAGUCUUCUGUGCCAAAUUCAAAUUGUGCAGUCACCUGUGUUCUGUUCUUGUUGCUCAUUCAUUGGCUUUGUUCAAAUAUUCAUCAACAAAAAAUUAUCACACUAAAAACAAAAAUAGACAAAAAAAAUAAUGUAUCGUUUUUGAGGACUUGGAAAAAUAUUUUUUGUUUUAUCGCUAAAACGUAUAAUUAUGGGAAAAUUUGAAAUUCACUUUGGAUUGGAAUCCAACUUCAUCUGUGUUUGGCUAUAUUCCUGAAUGUGGACCUUGCAUGUUGGCUGGCGCUGCCUCCACAACAUAGGUUCUGGAAGAGGAGAACUUGCCAUGGAGCUGGUUGUAGUAGUAGUUAGUAGUCGACCAAGAAACUCCAUGGUGUUUAUCAUCCUCACUGAAGACAACUUUAAAGAGGAGAGAAGCUGGUGAGAUGACCACUGUGAAGAGAGGAGAGUAACCUUGAGAUUAGAAGCACUUAGUGAUAUAGCAUUCAUUAUCAUAAAUAUACUGGGAGAAUGCACUUGGGACAACGGCAUUCUAUACAUGCUAGUACAGUAUCAUUGUGACUUGCAGUCCAGAUAGACACUCACUCACAGGAUUCUUUUACAGAAUUUUUUUAUUACUAAUCUUUUUACACAAGACAACAGAUCUGUUCAUCUGGUUACCACAUUGUUCUGUGCUUUCUGACAUCUUACAUUAGAGCAGUUCCAUCUCUGUGAAAAGCAGUGCUUUUUAUGAAUACUAUAUGAAUACUAUAACUCCCUCCCUGGCUUUGAAGAAGUGACCGCUAUGUUUCCACACUGCUAGAUUUCAUUUUUCUCAUUGAUGAUAAAAUUGUCAAGUUUACAUCAAAUUUCAUCAAGAAUGUGUGGAAACUAUUUGUAUAAGGGCCAAGGAGACUUGAUCUGAAAGUUUGUUUGAUCCCAUCUGAGGGGCAGACGUACCAUGAAGCUUUUGUCUCUUUUUGGCAGCGUAAGGAUAAAGUCAAACACAGUUGAAAAUUGGAGUUUUUUUAAGAAAAAGUGAAUUUUAUUUUUUGUUUAAAAUGUGUAAAUUUUUGAAUGCUAGGGUUUAAGGGCACCUGUUUCCCCAAUUUUUUUGUAAGUCUGAAACUGUUCAUUUGUAUCUCUGAAUAUAUAUAUUGUUGAAACAGAGAAAGGGGAAUUCAGGCAACAUUUGAACCAAAAUUGUGCAUAUAUUAAUACUGCUUUGGAACAGAGGUAAAUAAAUAAGAUCCCAGAUUUAUUAAACAGCACAGGUAUGUGGAACAACGUAGGAACAAGGGUAGAUGGGAUGAUGAGUAUGAUGACCCCGGUACUGCACCACUAGCAAGCAAUUUUACAACUGUUAAAGUGAUAUGGGGGUAUUGAGGUUUUUUGAAACUUUACUGUGGCGUUGCCUGCACAGGAAGUAGGUAAUAUUUUCUAUUUUGCAAGCAGAUUGUACGGUGCUAUUAUUGCCCUACUGCUCCUGUGUAUGGCAUCGUUUAUGUUUAUUUACCACUGUUGAAUGCUUUUUAUUUUUGUUAUAAUACCAUCUUCAUAUUGUAUGUCCAUUGUUAAAGCAUCUUGUUGACAUAUUUACAUUCCAUUUAUACGUCGAGAGAUGUUUGCUUCAUAGCUGUCUGACUAGAUCUGGCAAGAUUGCAGUCAUACUUUGUGACAGGCUGGGAGAUGGUGUGUUUUAUGUAGAAUUUGAAUUUGGAUCAUAUUAACAGGUGACUAAAAAGGACAAUGUAUCUUUCUUGCUUUACACAAAAAGUGUAAGCCUCGUCAAUUGUAGUAUUUGCAUGAGUAUAAACAAAAUUCAAGAUGUUUUGACUGUUUCACAGAAGAAAGGAAAUUGCGUAAAAAUUGAAGAGAUGUUUUCUUUUUGGAAUCUCUAGAGAAGAAGGCUGAUAAAAUAAGUCUCAUAAUUUCAGCAGCUUUGGGUACGGUAGUGCUAAACAAGUCCCGUCUCUUGUAGCACAAAGGUAUUGCUCUUCUCUUUCUAUGGCCAGUCAGACCGUCUUUGAACUGGACAAUGUUGGUUGGCAAGAUGCCAGUCCAAAUUGUUAUGUACUUAUCUUUUUUUUUCUAAUAAAAUAUUUUUAAAAAACCA